AUUGAACGCUGGCGGUAUGCCUUACACAUGCAAGUCGAACGGCAGCACGGACUUCGGUCUGGUGGCGAGUGGCGAACGGGUGAGUAAUGUACCGGAACGUACCUUUCAGUGGGGGAUAACGUAGCGAAAGUUACGCUAAUACCGCAUAUUCUGUGAGCAGGAAACCAGGGGAUCGAAAGACCUUGCGCUGAUUGAGCGGCCGACAUCAGAUUAGCUAGCUGGUGGGGUAAAGGCCUACCAAGGCGACGAUCUGUAGCGGGUCUGAGAGGAUGAUCCGCCACACUGGAACUGAGACACGGUCCAGACUCCUACGGGAGGCAGCAGUGGGGAAUUUUGGGCAAUGGGGGCAACCCUGAUCCAGCCAUGCCGCGUGAGUGAAGAAGGCCUUCGGGUUGUAAAGCUCUUUCGGCCGGGAAGAAAUCGCUUAGGCUGAUACCCUGUGUGGAUGACGGUACCGGAAUAAGAAGCACCGGCUAACUACGUG
rnacentral:rRNA from 1 species